CUGGCGGCGUGCUUAACACAUGCAAGUCGAACGAAGCACGUUUGAUCGAUUUCGUUCGGAAUGACGAUUUAGUGACUGAGUGGCGGACGGGUGAGUAACGCGUGGGUAACCUGCCUUAUACAGGGGGGAUAACAGUUAGAAAUGACUGCUAAUACCGCAUAAGCGCACAGGAUUGCAUGAUCUGGUGUGAAAAACUCCGGUGGUAUAAGAUGGACCCGCGUCUGAUUAGCUGGUUGGUGAGGUAACGGCCCACCAAGGCGACGAUCAGUAGCCGACCUGAGAGGGUGACCGGCCACAUUGGGACUGAGACACGGCCCAAACUCCUACGGGAGGCAGCAGUGGGGAAUAUUGCACAAGUGGGGGAAACCCUGAUGCAGCGACGCCGCGUGAGCGAAGAAGUAUUUCGGUAUGUAAAGCUCUAUCAGCAGGGAAGAAAAAAAUGACGGUACCUGACUAAGAAGCCCCGGCUAACUACGUG
rnacentral:rRNA from 1 species